ACUACUACUUCUACUACGAUUAAAACUACAGUUAGUCACUUUCCCGUUUGCUAAAAAUAGCUUGCUGUUCAAAGCCGGCUGCGGCGACAACAAUUUGAGGGGGGCUUCCCAGAAAUCGAUCGGUCUCUAGGCUCCUUCCGAACCGGGUGAGUGGUCGGGACGCUGGCUCUACUCCGCCCUGUGUGCGCGCGAGUUCGAAUGCACGUGUCUGCGUGUGUGCUCUUCUUUCUAUGUCUGUGCGUACGCGCGCGCGCGUGCGCUUAUGUGUCUGUGUGUGCGUCGUGAACUGGACCGGGAUCUGACAAGCCGGGGUGGUAAAAUCGUGUGUUCGUUCGUAUCGAUUCUUCUUUCAGCUGGCUCUUGGUGUUGUUGACACGGUGGUGAAUCUCCUCCUGCUGGUUAGCACGCAGAGAGGGAGAAAGAGAAAGAGAGAGAGAGUGAGUGAGAGUGAGAGUAACAUAGAAUUGGCUGACUCGAGAAUCUCUGAUCUUCCCUUGGAUUACGUGGACUUUACUUUUUUACUUUUUCUCACGGGAGGCAUUCAUUCCCUAUCGCCGGUCAAGCAGUUGUGUCAUUCUAAGAGGUCUGUGAGCUAGGUGCCGUGAGGUGUUUCUUGUUCGGAACGUUUCUACUGGCUGACGCUUGUUUGUGAACUACAGUAGUUUCAUUACAUUGUACAUUAUGUACUUCAUGUAAUGUGUACGCAACGAUAGGACCUUGUUUCGAGCUUGUUUUGAAAGAACAAGAGGGUUCGUCGCUGAUGAUAAUAUUACAGUAGGUUCAAAGUGAAUUGUUGCUAAAUGCACAGUAGUUGUCGUUUGGUGAAUUUUUUUUUUCUUCCAUUUUUUAUAAUCAAACUUUUGUCGCUUUUGUACUCUGCAUAUUAUGUAGCUUCAUGGCUCAACUCUCUGAUUCAUUUCGUGACUGUAAAGUGUAUUUUCUUUAAUUUAAAGAAAAUACUUGUUCUUUUCUGUUUUCCUUUUCUUUUCAUGAUAAUUAAAAGACUUAACAAAG